CCUGUUCCAGUGCCCAACCACCCUCUGGGUGGAGAACGUUUUACUAGAUUCUAAACCUCCCCUGACACAGUUUCAAGCCAUUUCCACAGGUCCUCUCACUGGUCACCAGACAGAAGAGAUUGGUCCCUGCCCCUCCACUUCCCCUCCUGAGGAAGCUGUAGACUGUGAUGAGGUCUCCCCUCAGUCUCCUCUUCUCCAGCCUGGUUUGGUAAAGACCAUAUUUGUAAUGAAAAACUAUUGUAUAGUUAAUUUCUAAACAGAGAAACAUUUCUCACACAUGAAAAAACUAUACAUGUAUUUGAGAAUUUGCCCACAUACUAAGAAGAGGCAUGAAUUGUACCUAAAACUGACAACAAAUAAAACCAGCCAUCACAGCGUCUUUUUUUUUUACCUGCCACCUCACAAUAGUAAAAUGCUGUUGUUCAGUUUUAUUAUGAUGCCAUGUAGCUAUAAUUUAUUGCAUUUCAGUGUGCACUGGAAAGUAUUUGCAUGUAAUAAGUAAAAGAAGAUAAAAAUCCAUUUGUGGUUUGGCAACUUCCAUGUAUCAAGAGCUACCCUCUUUCUAAGGAGACAUUGAGCACUGGAGUACAGGAACCUUAUACUGUAACUUUGUUAUAAAUCACUGCUAACCGAAAUGCUAAAUAAUGGAAAUCCCAAACAAAAAGUCUGGUACUUUUUAAAUGCAUAGUCCCAAAGAUGGUGUGCAGGAGAGAGGAAAUCAAGACUUGCAUAUGAAUGUUGCAAAACCAAAACAAGUUUAAUGGCCAACCACACAGCAAAGUAUUUGUGUUUUAACAAUGUGGCAGUCUUGAAUUUGGAAGGUUGAUAGAUUUUUCAGGAUCAAAAGAACAUUUUGUAAAAAGUUUAAUUUUAUAGUAGGUUUCAUUUUGGACCUGUCAACUUUGACACAGUCCCAUUAAAGCAAUAAUUCCUGCUAUGCGUUAAGGUUGGCACUCCAAAAAUUUCUUCUAUGGAAAUGAAUCUGUUCUGUGUUCUGUUAGAAAUGCUCAAAUAGCAUUGUUUGUCCUGUGUCACCUUAUUUAUUUGAAAGGACGUAUCUUAGCAUUUCCUCAGAGAUGCAUAUACACCCAAAUUGCAAUAUUAUUGUAUCUUUCAAAGACCCCGUUUCUGCCAAUGUCAAGAUUGUCUAUUUUAAUGCUUAUGAAAACAAAUAUCUAUUUGCAAAUCUGUCAGAAUUAUUUUAUUAUAGCAUUCCCAAGUAUGUAAGACCUAGAGAUUCAAAAUAUGAAUGGGAUUACACCAUUUAAAAUUAGCACUGAUUACCUACAGUAUCUGGGAAAUUGUUUUUUUUAUUUAACAGUGGAAUGAAAAAUGCAACUCAUAAUUGCCCCAAUAUUUAUCUUGCUGCAGAGAAAAAAUUAGCACUCAUUAGAAUUCAUAUGGGUUAUGACAGCCUUAGUCCAUUUUUACUAAAUUGCUUUGUUUGCCAAUCCACUCUGGUUUACACAUGUGUGUCACUUAAAACUGAAAGACUUCCUUCAAGUAUUUGAAACUAAGGUUGAUUUAAAAAAAUACUAAUUGCCUUGUCUAAAAAUAUUUUUUACAUGAUUUGCAGGAGCGUGACUGUUGCAGAAAAAUUCACUUUUGCCUUUAAGAUAUAGAGCAUGACCUUUUGGUUACAGUAAAUACAGUACUCCAAGUCUGGUAAAGUCAUCACAUAUACUAAAGGUAUUAAGACAAUUUACCUCACAUUCCUUCCUAUUAGCUUCCACAAUUAACAUGAUCCACAGCUGAAAAAAUAAUUCUAGUUGUCGCUGAUAAAUGGGGUGAAAUCGUCAAUCACUGAAGUUGACAGUAUUAUUUUAAAAAGAUAUUGCAAACAAAUGUUUACCCAGAGAUAGUAGUAUGUUGCUGAGAUUUUGUUCUUCAGGGUUCUCUCAUUUCAUUCAUGUUGCUGACUUUGGUGCUCAAUCUCAGAUUAAAGAAGGGGUUUUUUUGCUUUGGGUUUUUUGGGAGGUUUUUUGUAAUUUUUUUUUUUUUUUUUUUUUCUGUAGCACGAAGAGACCAAACACCCAUGCAUCAAAGUGUUUAACAGAACCAGGAGCAUUCCUGGUAACACUCAGAGAUAUAACUUCAGCUUUUUGUUUAUUUGUUUUCUUUUCUUGAUAUGAUGUGCAGACCUGAGAUUUUGGUUCAGGCCUGUCUCCACUGAGAGGUGCCAGUAAUACAGAACUCUCCUAUUGUGGGCUAAAUAGAUAUCUUACCUAUUUUUAACACUCACUUUUGAUCUCUGAAGAAUUUUAAUAUCAAGGUGAAAUAUUACAUGUUGGUUUCAUAUGUAGAUACUUCAGUGACAUAGACAUUAAUGAAAAUGCAUACAGUGUUCGUAGAGAAGAAAUAUCUUGUUUUUGACAUUCUCAGUGCUGAGGAGAAAUCUUUCAUGAAACUGCUGCGGGAUGGUGAGUCUCGUUCUGUCUGCUUGUGAGAGGCAGUUUUGCUUUUAAGUUUGGUUCAAAACAAAUUAAAUAGAAACUUUUUCUUUCAAGUUUGAUAUUUUAAACUACGUGGAUACUGCCAAUUAGCAUGUUCUCAAGCACUUUGUGAGAAUCAUUUCACAUCUAACCUGAUUAAGGCCUGAGGAGGUGUUCACUACUAGUCAAUGUUUCCAGUUAGUGAUUUGAUCUUUUCAAUUUCUUUCUGCAUAUAACAUUUAAAAAAACCCUUGAUGUUCACACCUGUUUGCACAUCUUGUGUCAGACAAGUGUGCCCUAGGAGUGGUUGUUGAGGCAAGUCUGGAAUUCUCCUGGCACUCAAGGAUCAGUUUGUUCUCAUUUGUCUCCAGAUGAGACAGAAUAUUGUGUUCUUUCGCCAUCAAGGACCAUUUUCUCACCAUCUUUUUUGUUUCCAUAUCUGCUUAUUUUGGAUGGGAACUCUGGUUCAUGCAAUAACUAAUGUUGGAUGAUGCAUUUUCUUUCAGCAAAACAGGGACUAUUGCAGAGAAAUAGUUCUGAGACUCUUUUUUAUUAUCAAAAUUACAGGUUAUGUUGCAAAUACUAACUAGAAAAUGUAAUUGUUAGUCAAUGGGUUUGAGUAUAUCUAAAAGCCAAGAUCAAGUGUAUCCUAUUCCAGCUGACUGAUGCUGAAUAUUGGUUCUCAUUUGCUAAUGUCAGAAUUAAAGCAGAAAAAGUUACCAAAAAUACAUGGUGUCUGAUUCAGCAGGAAGCUUAGCCCAGUGAGUCAUGAGCCACCGUUCUGAAUGGCACUGAGACCUCCAUCUCUCUGAUGGGAAGCAAAGGUGGCCAUCUGCCUGAACCUAUAACCUGUAGACCAUAAGAUACUUAAUAUGUUUGCCACAGAGCUGAGGGGAGAUGCCAGUUUGAGGAGGCCUUGGUAGCGGCUCUACCUGACCAAGUCAUGCCAACUCACAUCUUCUGCCAGAGAAGGGACUAGUAGUCACUGUUCCAGCAGAGCCCACUGCUUGCCAGUGGCCCACUUGACUUGUCAGGAAUGGUGUGGAGUUUAGAGCCACAAGCCAGCCAUGUCUGGCUUACUGAGACAAGCACUUUUCAAGGCGAUGAAAGAAACACUGAAAUGGGAAAAUGAGUGCUGGUGGCAGGCCUCCACACCUGUCAUGCUGUAUUACAGUUUCAGUCUUUGAUUGUUGGUCCCAUAAAGGUGUCGUUUUCUUCAUGUUAUUAAAGCAAUUACAGUUAUUAUACUAAAUUUGUCCUUUCUGAAGGGAGCAAGAAUAAAUGAGAGAGGAUUUGCAUACAAAUUGAGCCUGAUGUGGGGGAAAAUCGGAGCAGGUGGUGAAGCUGUGUGAGGAGACAUUAUGCAGGAGCAUGGCCGGAGCUGCCCUCCUCUACAACCCGUUGCUGGUGACCCUUUGAGGAAUGUCUCCUGACUGUCUGGUGGAUUCAUUUGAAUGAAGGACAGUUUGGCACACUGUUAUCCUGGGCAGAUCAAAGGCCAGGCGUUGGCUGGCUGGAUGGACAGAGGAGGCAUGUGAAAGGCCUCCCCUCCCACUGGCAAGGCCUUUCCUUGGCACUGCUCAGCCUCCCCCCACCUCUUCUCUCAGAGACAUACCCCUGUGUAAGGCAGCUCUCCUGUCCCGUGCUGCCAGGUAGGAUGCCUGCCUUUGCUGCAGGAGCACCUGCCUCUGAGUGUGGUGGGUUCCCCUGGCCUCAGUCAGCUGGGAUAGUGAGUAGUGCUCUGGGACUGCACCUCCCAUUGCAUCCUAGGAAGGGCGUCAGGUCGCCCAUGCAGGUGUUUGUAGUUCAGAAGAGGAAGACAAGGUGGGCAGCAGGUUUCCAAGCCCAUCCAAAGUGACAGCAUAUUUGGCUUUUGGACAUGGAAAACCAUUGCUCCAGUUUCCCACUGCGGUUGUGUUUCUUUACACAAGGUUCCCCUUGUGUGUCUAAUGACAGGGGUAGGGGUUCUCACUCAUGAAAGUGCUAUAAAAUAUUAGGAAAUAAAGCUAUUUUUUUUCCUGAGACUGAGUUUUAUACCCCAAGUCACUGCUAAACAAAGGAUCAGUGGUGUGGAGGAAACACAAAUGCCUGGCCCUGUCCUUGUUAGGUUUGGACUAGUUUCAGCCCAACAAGCCUGGUACUGAGUAAUUGAUGUGCAAAUUAAUUUUAUGAUAUUACUAGUAGAUGAAAAGUGUAUCUGAAAUAUACAUUACUUGCAAAUGAACCUUUGUUAUAAUGGGUUGUCCUCAUUGAAACAGCCCUGGAACAUGCUGUUUAAAUAAGAAAGAAUGCUGUUGUACUUUAUUUUUAGUAAUGUCUUUUGACACUGAAUAAGAUUCUUUGAAUUCCUACAGAUGUGGAAAAAAAGCAGCCCUCUUUCUCUUUUUUUAGGAAAAAAAAUUGUGUUUACAUUUGUUUUAUAAGUGGGAGAACGAUUAUAAGUUGUAUCUUCAUGGGUCAGCAUUGUCGGCUAUAUUAUAGGGCAAUAACCAAGUUGCUUUCCUGACUUAACAUGUGCAUGGAUAUCAAGACCAAUGAAGGUAAAAUUAAACCAGUGAAUGGCUGUCUGUGUGAAGGUUCAUAUUAAUUUUUAAAAGUCUAUAGCAGUAACAAGUGUAGCAGAUAUCCUAAAUCAGAACAUGAGGAUGAUGUUGAAUCAUCUCAACUAUUUUGAAGAGUUUCUCUGUGUUUCAAUGUCAGACCUGCCUCCACUGAAAAAGAAUAACUGGUUAGAGCAUGAGCUACCAGAAUCAUGGCUGUUACUGCAGAUCUGCUGCUUUAAUCAUGACGACUGUUCUGCUUUUCAGUCAUGGUUCAAGACUGAUCCAGAAAUAUUCAUUUAUUUCCAUAGUUAAAGUUAAAUCACUGAUACAGAAGUUACUAUCUGGGCAUUCAAGUGUGGGAUUACCAGCUUUUUACUUGGAUAUUUUCCUCUGUAGCCACAGAAGAAAUAAUUUCCUUUUUUUUUUUUUGCACUGUGGUAUUUAAAUGUGAGAGAACAACUGAAAGGAUAAUAAGUUAGGAAAGCUAAUUCUCCUUUUCCAGGCAAUGAAGAGAAACCACAUGGUAGGUGAAACAUCUUGCUUUAGAAAUCCUGGUGGACUCACUGAUUUACAGAGAUCUAUCCAGUUCUCACAGUUAUUAAACCAGAGGGAUUAAGAUUUGGAGGACAUCACCAGCUGGUCUUAGUCACAGUGCAAAUGCAUCGCUCUCCUGGGUACCUAGACAGAUGUAGAGUCAAGUGGAAGUGCAGAUAAGCAUGUUCGAUACCACCACUGUACUGAGAUAUGCAGACCACCAUAUGGAAGGCAAAUGUCAUCAAUUUUUUCCCCAUUUUAAAGUUUCUUAUGAGGAAAGUUUAGCCCUACCUGUGGUUACAGAACAAAGGAAAAAUCUUUUCUAUGUGCAUUUUAUAAUGUAUCUCUUAUGUAAUCAUUUAUGGGACAUUAUAGCUGGAAUACAUAAAAAAUUUCAGUAUUUAUUUCUCCAUCAGAAUUGCUCAGGUUUUUCUUCACCUGUCAAAAUGAAUUGCCUCUACUGAGCAAUGUCUCAGUGUUCUGCAUGUCUCUGUUCUGUGAUUGCUUUAAGGCCACAGUAUAUCAGAUUCAGCUUCUUAAACUAAAAGGUGUAGGAAAUUCAGAGAGAAAAAUAUUACCAAAGUAACUUCAUUAAAGAGCCCUGUAUGGAAGAUCAAUGUCUUUUCUCAAAAUGCACUCAGAGAAAAUGUUGUGUUGAAAAACAAUAAAAAAUAUUGCACUGAUGUUUCA